rnacentral:lncRNA from 1 species
GUUGAGCACUCCAGUGGCUCUGUAAAAAGGCCAACUCGCUGGAGGACGGAAGGGUGGCCUGAAGACUGAGGAGGGGCAGGUCAGGUGCCCAGUCCAGAGAGGAGGAGUUGAAGAUGACAAGCCGCACCCCACCUCCCCCCAACUCACUUGGGACUGGAUCCACCCUGAGGAGCCUCGGGUCAACAUCCUGUUUCCGGCAAGCCCUCCUGGAGGCCACACAGAGGGGUGUUUGUUCGUAGUGGGCGACGGGAGAGAUGCUAAUCACGUUGGAUAGCUGGUCCCAGCUGAAGGUCAGGAGGUAAGGCGACCCACAGUUAUAAAUAACCGAGCCAGGCUGCUGAGGGCAGCUUGCUGGAUCCGCGCCCCUCUCCGGCCGACCGACCCGGAUUGAUUUCUGACCUCCUGGCUGCCACGGGAACUUGAACCCCAGAGAGCUGAGCGCCAUGACCUUUGGGGGUGGCGCGCAAGGUCAGGCCAGGCCGCCUGGGCUUCCCUGACUCCUAAAUUCAGGCAGAUGCACCUUUGCCACUCUGCAGAGGCCUGAGUUGGAGGUGGUUGUGCAUGGGACUCAACCCCCACCAUCAACACAGGUACCUGUACCUCUGCAUCCCACCCACCAAGCCCUAGUCCUCAGCCUGCUCCAGCUGAAACUGGAAGACCCAGCCUUCAGAGCCUGGCCCGGCCUCCAGACACCUGAUCUGAUGUGGGGUUGAUUCCAGAGCCAUGUGUUCUCUGCUGGAUGGAAACAAGAGUCCCCCGUCUCACUUUGGAAGGCUUAGUGAAGAGAUUCUAGUGGCAACAAUCUGGCUGCUGUUUGUGUGCCUGGGAGGCAGGCACCUCUCCUUGUGUCCUAUGAACAGAAAAGGGAGGAUCCAUCAUUUACCUACCAAGAUAACUACCUUACUUACCAUAAACGUGAACGAUGCAGGCGGCUAGAGGGCUCGCUCGGUAGCUAAAAGUGAUUGCUACACAGGGGCAGCAAUCUGAAUUCAGUCCCCAGGAGCCAUGGAAAGCAGGAAGGAGAUGACCAGCUGCGUGGUUAGCUUCUGACUUCCCCACACGUGCUGUGACCCACACCCACACCAAUAAAUAUAUUUCUACUUUAUGCGUA